CCUACGUGUGGCAGCAGUGGGGAAUAUUGCGCAAUGGGCGAAAGCCUGACGCAGCGACGCCGCGUGAGGGAUGAAGGUCUUCGGAUCGUAAACCUCUGUCAGCAGGGAAGAACGGUCACUGUGCUAAUCAGCAGUGAAUUGACGGUACCUGACUAAGAAGCCCCGGCUAACUACGUGCCAGCAGCCGCGGUAAUACGUAGGGGGCAAGCGUUAUCCGGAGUUACUGGGUGUAAAGGGAGCGUAGACGGCAGCGCAAGUCUGGAGUGAAAUGCCGGGGCCCAACCCCGGAACUGCUCUGGAAACUGUGAAGCUGGAGUGCAGGAGAGGUAAGCGGAAUUCCUGGUGUAGCGGUGAAAUGCGUGGAUAUCAGGAGGAACACCGGCGGCGAAGGCGGCUUACUGGACUGUAACUGACGUUGAGGCUCGAAGGCGUGGGGAGCAAACAGGAUUAGAUACCCGGGUAGUC
rnacentral:rRNA from 1 species